rnacentral:rRNA from 1 species
AUGGAUGGUCUUCUACAUUGGGAUUUCUCCCCCGGCCUUGCGGUCGCGGCUCAGGUGCGUCAACGCUUCGGUUCUACGGUUCACUUCUCUCCCUCUGGUGGUUGCAAGGAAUUCUUUUUGGUGGUUAGCUUCUCUUCGGCCUCCUUCACUCUCAAUGAAGAAUCUGUUGCUUUGGCUCUGCAAUGUUCCAUUGGAGGUUUCCCCUCGGGAUUGCAUGUUAAGCAUUUGGAUGGAUGUUGUUUUCGGUUCUCGGUUUCCUCUAAUCGGGUUGGUCAUUUCAUCUAUGGUCUCAAGGACCGAGUAUGGCUAGAUCUGUCACUUUAG